GCCAACGGCUUGGUUGCGUUGAAAACUGCACCAGGUCUCACCAGCACACUGAUGUUAAACAACGUCGAGCGUGACUGCUAUCUGGACGGGUGACCGUCUGGGGACAGACGCUUGCUGCUGACA
rnacentral:rRNA from 1 species